AUUGAACGCUGGCGGCAGGCCUAACACAUGCAAGUCGAGCGAGCGGCGGACGGGUGAGUAAUGUCUGGGAAACUGCCUGAUGGAGGGGGAUAACUACUGGAAACGGUAGCUAAUCCCGCAUACCAUCAGAUGUGCCCAGAUGGGAUUAGCUAGUAGGUGGGGUAACGGCUUACCUAGGCGACGAUCCCUAGCUGGUCUGAGAGGAUGAUCAGCCACAUUGGGACUCAGACAAGGCCCAGACUCUUACGGAAGGAAGCAGUGGGGAAUAUUGCACAAUGGGCGCAAGCCUGAUGCAGCCAGGCCGGGGGAAUGAAGAAGGCCUUCGGGGUGUAAAGUACUUUCAGUCGGGAGGCGUUACCGACAGAAGAAGCACCGGCUAACUACGUGCCAGCAGCCGCGGUAAUUC
rnacentral:rRNA from 1 species